rnacentral:rRNA from 1 species
CUCCUACCGAUUGAAUGGUCCGGUGAAGUGUUCGGAUCGCGGCGACGUGGGCGGUUCGCCGCUGGGAGCAGCCGAGAAGUUCGUUAAACCCUCCCACCUAGAGGAAGGAGAAGUCGUAACAAGGUU